ACCUUUCACCCCGUUUUUCCAACAAAUCAUAAAUAUCCCACUAAAAUCCCAUUUAAAUCUCUCGCACAAAAACAAAACAAACUUUUUAAUAAAAGUCAAACAAUGCGAAUAUCUCACCUUGUUUAAUUACCUUCAAGUUGGGCCUUGGCAGAAAACGAGAGUCGAGCGGCGAUUUCCAGCCUCCAGCCGGCCAGCCAGGGCCAGAAGGAGGGCCAGGAGGGCCAGAAGCCGAGGAGCCAGAAUCCCUGAAUCAGAAUCAGACUGCCAGGUAGCCGGGUCAGAAGUAAAAAUAAUGAAUCACCGCAGCAGAAAAUUAUUAUCCACCUGCAGCAAAGUCGCUGGAACAGGGAGCGCGAGGUGGAAUUAUAUUAAUUGAAAGUGCUGAAAAAAUAAGAAAACAGACCGGGCGGAGAAAGAAAAAUAAAAUCAAAUUGCAAUGAAACUGCAUGCCACUGGCGGAGGAGCUGAGGGAGAAAUAAUAAACGCGACAUCCGAAAAAAGGACUCCCACGUCCAACAAUUGAAGUGAAAAGAACAAAAGCUGCAUAAAGGACGAAUCAGGCCUCGACUCAAGGGGAUCGCUGGGCUUUCAAUUAGCUUAAAAUUUAAGAAGGUGUCGGAAGGACUUUAAGGGACAGCACCAUUCCCCAAAUAGACUUCCCUUAAUUACUCAAUUAUUGACUGUGGUGCCUAUCGUCCUCUGAUUUCAAUGACAGUUUUGAUUUCGGGCCUUGCCAACUGUAUGCAUCCCAUGGUGGCCGUGUUAGCCACAACAAAACAGGCAAAUAAAGAUAGGAGUCCUGUUGGCACCGCAGAAGUGACGCAACUGGAAAUGGAAAUCAAUGCCAGGCGACAAUUGGAAGACUAGCACUAAUUGGCAGCAAAAAGCCGCACACAAGUCCAGCCAGGACACCAGGUAUCCCGGACUCUGAACGGGAGCUCCGGUCUCAAUCAGCGUCAGGAUCAGAGAGGGACCGCAGUUAUUUGCUUUAUUAAUGUUCGUGAAGCCGCAUAAUGCCCUGACAAAUGCCCAGGCAUAGAGGAUCCUGCGCUGUCGAGAGGCUCCUGAAAAUGAUUGGAAAAUAUAGAAAAGCCGUGCGGGAUUUGCAUGGCUGGGAGAGGUAGAGAGUCCUGGCCGACAGGCUGUGAGUGUGGAGGUGUGGCGGUGCUUUGGCCAGGCAUGAAAAUUGCAAAAACCGCAAUAACAACAGCAAAAGGCCUCUAACAAUAAUAAUAACAACAAGUCAGGACCAACCGCAAUGUUUUCCGGUCUACAACAAAAGAAAGAACAAGUAUCCCGUUUCUGAUUCGUCCUGUUUUUCCUUUUAUUAUAUCCCAGCCCAGCCCAGCCCAGCCCAGCACAGCCCAUUCCAGCCGUGUGUCCUGCGCUCCUGGCUUGUAUAAAUUAAAAUGCACACACAUGAAAGCACUUGCUAAGGGCACAACUGUA